GUUAGAGAGCAACACAGUUCCAUGUCCGAAACAAGAAUACGCAGAAGCAACAGCAGCUUAAGUACAGAGGUUAUAAAAGGUGUAGGAUGCUGCACUUACCUUGAUGAGCCUCAGCGAGUUCCUCUGCCCAGCUGCCCAGCCUGUCCAGGUUGUGCUGAAUGGAAGCAGAGCCUUCUGGCAUGUCAGCCACUCCUCAUGGCUUCAUAUUAUCAGCAAACUUACUUGGGGUGUACUCUGUCCCUUCAUCUAGUUCACUGAUGAGGAUGAGAUUGCAAAACAAUAUCAGUACUGAAAUCAAAGCUAUAUUUUGCAGUUGGCUACUACAACAGAAAAAGAAGAUGAGUCACAGUCUCUCCAAGUGUGAGGUAGCAGUUAUCAGGACUCUGAGUCUGACACAGCUUUAUCAUCUUUGGGAGAGAAUGUUCUGGCAGUACCUCCAAUACCCAGGGGUUGCAGAGACCUGAUUUCCAUACAGUUUCAAAUAAAAUAAUUAGUAAAUGUAACAUCAGAGAGGACUGAGGUUAAUUCAACACAGAGAGCAACGAUUGUGAGACUGUGACUGCCUCUGAAUCAGGCUGUUGUGACUGCAGUUCUGCUUCCUGUAACAGGUAUGUUUCCAUAACACAUGCACCUCCUCUUCUGCCAGAUAUGACUUCUGUAUCUUGUCCACUAAUUUAAACAAGUCUUAUCAAGCAAUAGGUCAGUUCAGGCUCUGUGCUCAGCUAAUGGCUCUUUGUGGGAGCCAGAUGGAAAUGGUGUCAACUUCUGUGUUUGUUCGUGCAGUGGUGAUUUAAGGAAACAUACAUUUAGAGCGGCAGUGGUGUAUCUGAACUUUUCGUGGAAGAUUAACUUCUAAACAAAUCUGACAGAUGCAGAAUCUGAAAGUGCUUGUUAAGUUCACUUUAGAAUAAAGCAUGCCAUUGUCAAAGAAGCAUAUUGUGGAUGCUCCUGACUGCACACAGUGUACUACAGUCAUCAUCAGAAAUGAGGCUCAGAUUGCUAUUUUUCAUACAUAUAGAUUCUUACUUCUGCCCCCACCCCCUUUUUCCCUGUCAAGUCUGUUUGAUUGUUUCUGCCUCUAAUGGACUUACUUUUUUUGCUGCAGCACUUCAUCAAGUGUUUCCUGUUUGUCUUGCAGCAGACGCUGGAGGUGCUUCAUUUCUUGCUGAUACUGAGCAGUCUUCCCAGCAAAAUCUUUCUCCUGCUCAGUCAUUUUGAGACUGAUAUCUCCAAGCUUCCCAGCUGCUCUCUUUUUAUAGAUCUACAGAGUUAACAGGAAAAAUGUUUUGAUAGCAGAAAUAAGAGUGCUUCAUUACCAACAAAAGGAAACUGUAAGAGACUGAAUCACAGUUUAGUAUUUUCUUCAGUGAUGCUUUUCUUAAAUCCAUCAAGUAUGUUGCAUUGUUUUUGUUUUUAUUAACAGAUUGUGAUGGCAUUACACUUGCACUUUGUUAUGCAUAUAAAACCAGUAUGGAUGAUUCUGAGUGAAAAGAAUCAGCUGCAAAAAUGGGUUUGUGCAGAGCUAUACUUCACAGAGCACAAAUUAUAGAAUGGUUUGGGUUGGAAUGAACCUUAAAGAUCCUUUAGUUCCAAUCCCCUGCCACUAAAUCAAGCUGAUGAAAGCUCUGUGGUGUUUAACAUUUGUCCAGCAAUUGUAUUUAUCAGUGCAUGCUGACAUCUGCAACCGCAGGCACUCAGAACCUUCAGAGCAGGCUCCUGAAUUGUUCAGGACUGUCUCAUUAAUUUUCUCUGAAGUAAAGCAGGCAGUAGUGUAUGGAGAUGACAAUUUGCAGGAAGAGAGGGAAUAACAUAGCUGGAAGUGGUAAUAGAGAUAGGCUGCCUAAGGUCACGGCAUCACAGGCAUAUAGCAAGCACUGAAGAUGAGCACUUAUGAUGGAUGUAGCAGCUGGUACUGAAGGGAAUAUAACCUACACUCCUGCAAAGAAGUUCUAAGAAGCUACAUUCUUAGUAGUCUAAUUCUCUUAUGUUUUGCAUAAUGAGUUAUGUAGGAGCCAUUUAAAUUGUACUACAGAUUUUAUGUUACUUCUCGUCCUGAAGUAACAAACAGUUUUAGACCACUAUCUUAGUAACUGGGAAUGGAAUACAUAUUUAAAGUUUAUUUAAAACAACUGUUGAACAAAACCAUUUCAUCAAUUAUGUACUGAUAAAACAAACAAAAAACCACGUGACCUACUUAAAAAAGAAGCCUCAUUUGCAGGAUAGUUCAUGUUCUAUAUGACUAUUUAGAAAAAGAAAUGCAAAAGCCAUACACUUGAGUUGAAUCUUUUCCAAUUACAAAGGGAAGAGAGUUAGCAUUAAAUGUUCUGCUCCACAGUUAGACUUGUUAAUGAUGUUCAUUCAGUGACCUGUUGAAAGCAGCAUUCAAGUACAAUUAAGAAUUAUUUGUGAUGAGUGAUGACUGUGAUUCCAUUUCUAAAAAACUCAAAAUCAGCAUCUUUCAUAACAGCACAAAGUUGCUACUGACUUAUUAUAAUAGCUUUACAGAACAUUCACAUUAAAGCUGGUUUACCUUCAUUUUUUCUUCCAACCUUCCUAAGUGUAGACUGCCUUCUACUAUUUUCUUAAGAACUCCAUGGUUCUCAUUUUCCAAGCACUUGGCC